rnacentral:rRNA from 1 species
GACGAACGCUGGCGGCGUGCUUUACACAUGCAAGUCGAACGGAAAGGCCCUGCUUUUGUGGGGUGCUCGAGUGGCGAACGGGUGAGUAACACGUGAGUAACCUGCCCUUGACUUUGGGAUAACUUCAGGAAACUGGGGCUAAUACCGGAUAGGAGCUCCUGUUGCAUGGUGGGGGUUGGAAAGUUUCGGCGGUUGGGGAUGGACUCGCGGCUUAUCAGCUUGUUGGUGGGGUAGUGGCUUACCAAGGCUUUGACGGGUAGCCGGCCUGAGAGGGUGAACGGCCACAUUGGGACUGAGAUACGGCCCAGACUCCUACGGGAGGCAGCAGUGGGGAGUAUUGCCCAAUGGGCGGAAGCCUGAUGCAGCAACGCCGCGUGCGGAAUGACGGCCUUCGGGUUGUAAACCGCUUUCGCCUGUGACGAAGCGUGAGUGACGGUAAUGGGUAAAGAAGCACCGGCUAACUACGUG